GGCUGUCUGGCGAAAUGGUAUCGCGUCUGACUACGUUAUACUUAUUGUUUCUACCCCGCUGUAAUCAGGAGGCUCUAGGUUCGACCCCUAGGAUGGCCU